CCUACGGGAGGCAGCAGUGGGGAAUAUUGGACAAUGGGCGAAAGCCUGAUCCAGCCAUGCCGCGUGUGUGAAGAAGGCCUUCGGGUUGUAAAGCACUUUCAGUGGGGAAGAAAGCCUUGGGGCUAAUACCCUCGAGGAAGGACAUCACCCACAGAAGAAGCACCGGCUAACUCCGUGCCAGCAGCCGCGGUAAUACGGAGGGUGCGAGCGUUAAUCGGAAUUACUGGGCGUAAAGCGCGCGUAGGCGGUCUGAUAAGCCGGUUGUGAAAGCCCCGGGCUCAACCUGGGAACGGCAUCCGGAACUGUCAGGCUAGAGUGCUGGAGAGGAAGGUAGAAUUCCCGGUGUAGCGGUGAAAUGCGUAGAGAUCGGGAGGAAUACCAGUGGCGAAGGCGGCCUUCUGGACUGACACUGACGCUGAGGUGCGAAAGCGUGGGUAGCAAACAGGAUUAGAUACCCGGGUAGUC
rnacentral:rRNA from 1 species